GCAGGUCGGUACAUCCGGGUGUGGUGGCGGGCGGGGCCGGGAUGGCGCCCGGCGGAGCUGGAGCGGGGUGGGGAUGGAGCCGGCGCCGGAUGGGGUCUCCGCGCCUCCCGAGCGCCAGGGCCGGCCCGCCGAGUCUGCCUGCAUGUGUCUCCAGCAGGAGCGUCCCACCUGGACGCGUUGCUGUGUCACCUGCUCUAUGUGACCGUGCGUUGGCAGGAGGGUUGGACUUGGAUGAUCUGCAGAGGGCAUUCCAGCGCUAACAGUUCUGUGGUUUUGUGGGGGCUGGAGUCUCGCUUUCACAGCCCCAAAGCUGGCGGUGCUCAGCCAAAGGCGCAUAGUUGGUGACCUGAAGUUGUGUCGGGAGGAUUAGAUUGGAUACUAGGAAAAGAUUUUUCACCCAGAGGGUGAUUGGGUGCUGGAACAGGCUCCCCAGGGAAGUGGUCACAGCACCAAGCCUGACAGAGUUCAAAAAGCGUUUGGAUGAUACUCUCAGGCAUAGAGUGUGACUCUUGGGGAUGGUCCUGUGCAGGGCCAGGAGUUGAACUCCAUGAUCUUUCCAAGUCAGCAUAUCCUAUGAUUUUGUUCUUGGAGGAGAUUGUUCCUUGCCAUCCCCUCCUGCAUCCUCCCUGAAUUACUUUUUUUUUAGGCUGAGGUGUGCAUAACGUGAGCUCGCCUGGUGCCCAGGAACACAUUUUCCUCCAGGGCAUGCAUGGUUUCCUGCUGCUGAAGGUUUGGCUGUGCUGUGCCCAAGCUCUGCUGCCUGAACCAUGUGCUGACUGGAGAGAUCACAGAGUCAGAGAGCAGUUUGAGUUGGAAAGGACCUUGAGAAUCAUCGAGCUCCAAGCCUCUGUCAUGAGCAGGGACACUUCCCACUAGCCCAGGUUGCUCAAAGCCCCAUCCAACCUGGCCUUGAGCACCUCCAGUGAUGGGGCAUCCAAGGAUCUUCAGACAACUUGUUCCAGUGCCUCACCACCCUCACAAUUGUUCAGCACUUCAUAGAUUUCAUUGCCUCCAAAGACACUGCUCCAUGUCAUCUUUGAAUUCUUAGUUUCGGCUUCUAAGAUUAGGUUUUUAUUACAUAUUUUUCUUACUAAAUAAAAAUACAAAAUACUUACUUUUGA